rnacentral:rRNA from 1 species
UACGAAGGGAGCUAGCGUUGUUCGGAAUCACUGGGCGUAAAGCGCACGUAGGCGGAUUUGUCAGUCAGGGGUGAAAUCCCGGGGCUCAACCUCGGAACUGCCUUUGAUACAGCAAGUCUUGAGUUCGAGAGAGGUGGGUGGAACUGCGAGUGUAGAGGUGAAAUUCGUAGAUAUUCGCAAGAACACCAGUGGCGAAGGCGGCUUACUGGUCCGGUUCUGACGCUGAGGCGCGAAAGCGUGGGGAGCAAACAGG